AGAGGUUUUUUCUGGCUCAGGAUGAACGCUGGCGGCGUGCUUAACACAUGCAAGUCGAACGAAGCACUUUAUUUGAUUUCCUUCGGGACUGAUUAUUUUGUGACUGAGUGGCGGACGGGUGAGUAACGCGUGGGUAACCUGCCUUGUACAGGGGGAUAACAGUUGGAAACGGCUGCUAAUACCGCAUAAGCGCACAGCAUCGCAUGAUGCAGUGUGAAAAACUCCGGUGGUAUAAGAUGGACCCGCGUUGGAUUAGCUAGUUGGUGAGGUAACGGCCCACCAAGGCGACGAUCCAUAGCCGACCUAAGAGGUUGAACGGCCACAUUGGGACUGAGACACGGCCCAGACUCCUACGGGAGGCAGCAGUGGGGGAUAUUGCACAAUGGGGGAAACCCUGAUGCAGCGACGCCGCGUGGAGGAAGAAGGUUUUCGGAUUGUAAACUCCUGUCGUUAGGGACGAUAAUGACGGUACCUAACAAGAAAGCACCGGCUAACUACGUGCCAGCAGCCGCGGUAAAACGUAGGGUGCAAGCGUUGUCCGGAAUUACUGGGUGUAAAGGGAGCGCAGGCGGACCGGCAAGUUGGAAGUGAAAACUAUGGGCUCAACCCAUAAAUUGCUUUCAAAACUGCUGGCCUUGAGUAGUGCAGAGGUAGGUGGAAUUCCCGGUGUAGCGGUGGAAUGCGUAGAUAUCGGGAGGAACACCAGUGGCGAAGGCGACCUACUGGGCACCAACUGACGCUGAGGCUCGAAAGCAUGGGUAGCAAACAGGAUUAGAUACCCUGGUAGUCCAUGCCGUAAACGAUGA
rnacentral:rRNA from 1 species